rnacentral:lncRNA from 1 species
CCUAUAGUAACUUAUCUGUGGGAAAUUGUGUCCUAAAAUUAAUCAUGUGAUGAUUGAGUUUCUCUUUGUAUAUAAAUUAUUGAUUAUUGAAUAAAAAUUAUUCUGAUAUUUUUCAUCAUAAAGCAACAUCUUCCUUGAACUCUUGUGCUGUGAUGAAAUCCUUAAAACUAUGCUAGUGUACGAUAAAGAGAGAAUUUAUCGUAUAGUUCUUAAACAUGUUUGUGAUCAAAUGAUACGUCAUUACAGGAUGAUGAUGUUUAUCGAGUAGAGAUCGUUGUGUGCCAAAUGGG